rnacentral:rRNA from 1 species
GGACGAACGCUGGCGGCGUGCUUAACACAUGCAAGUCGAGCGGUAAGGCCCUUUCGGGGUACGACGAGCGGCGAACGGGUAGAGUAACACGUGGGUGGACCUCGCCCUCCAGCUCUGGGAGUAAGCCGUCGGGAAACCGGGGUACCGUAAUACCGGAUAUGACUCCAUGACGCAUGUUGUGGGGUGGAAAGCCUUGUGCGGCUGAGGAUGGGCCCGGCCGGCCUAUCAGCUUGUUGGGUGGGGUGGAUGGCCUACCAAGGCGACGACGGGUAGCCGGCCUGAGAGGGCGACCGGCCACACUGGGACUGAGACACGGCCCAGACUCCUACGGGAGGCAGCAGUGGGGAAUCUUGCGCAAUGGGCGAAAGCCUGACGCAGCGACGCCGCGUGAGGGAUGACGGCCU